UACGUAGGCAGCGAGCGUUGUUCGGAGUUACUGGGCGUAAAGGGUGUGUAGGCGGCCUAUUAAGUUUGGUGUGAAAUCUCCCGGCUCAACCGGGAGGGUGCGCCGAAAACUGGGAGGCUAGAGUGCGGGAUGGGAGAGUGGAAUUCCUGGUGUAGCGGUGAAGUGCGUAGAUAUCUGGAGGAACACCGGUGGCGAAGGCGGCAUCCUGGACCAACACUGACACUGAGGAGCGAAAGCCAGGGGAGCAAACGGG
rnacentral:rRNA from 1 species